AGAAAAUGACAAGUUGGAGUAAAAUGAUACGAACAUUUUCUGUAGAGUGAAUUGCAUAAAGUCCCUACGCAGCCUUGAAAAGUAUGAAAAUGACUUUUCCAGGGGUUUUUUUUAUGUUUAUUCAUAUCCAAAUAAUAUUUAUCCUCAAUUUUAAUUCAAACUCAUGGAUCAGUCUGGUUGUUGAGUUACUGAUUGAGAACAGCUGUUAUUUGUCUGCUCAUUCUAAAGUCCAAAAGGGCUUUUUGUGCUCCAGACCAGGGUGUUUAUGCAGCUCUUCAUCUCUAUUUGAGAAUGGUACAGAUUCUAUUUACAUUGGGUUGCCUCUAACUUGUGUGGUGUACUUCUCAGUGAGAAGAAACCAGAACAACAAACAGCUUAUGCA